GUCUCAGGCACGCGCUGUUACCUGUCCAUCCAGCCGCCUUGCAGAAAUGAAUCACUUACUUCCAAUGUUUCCUAAAGUGGCAAUGGGCCCUCGGGCCUUCUCGCUGGGGAGCGUCUCUGCCCCCCAUUCUGGAAGGGGUUUCUGGAAGAGCGAACAAUUCAGCGACACUUGGCUCACUCACAAUGGUCUACAGCAGUCAGCUCCGUCUGGUUCCAGAACAUUCCCAUCACCCUGAC